rnacentral:lncRNA from 1 species
GCGAGGAAGGCUGGCCUGCAGGGCAGAGCUGGGGAACCACUCUGGAAAACUCGGAUCCCCUGCUUCCCCUCUAGCUUCUCCCCUUUCCACUGGAGCAGCUCACACCACUCCAGAAAUCCAUGCCUACUCCCCAUUCAGUGGGGAAAGUUGAAAAAGGUAGGAGAGCAAUGUACAAACUAUGUAAAUUCAAGUGGGCUCUAGGCACGGGGUAGAAGCAGAAGUGGCAGACUAGGGGUGGGGAUACACUUUGCAUGGGACAGAAAGACCAGGAGGAAGUACAGUGGCACACCAGGCCCUGAACAGGCAAAGCAUCUGGCCAACAGGCAGAUGCGUAUUAUGUUGCAGAUUUUUCUUCCUGUUGAAUGUUUAGAAAUGUUACAACUCUUUUGUGUUGCAGCUCCCUCUCUCUGCUGAGUUCUUCAUCUUGCGACCAGGAAGGAUGAACAAGGAAGUGCGGAGUGGCAGAGACAGACAGCACUGUUGCAGGAGAACUGGCGGGAUGCGUCUGGGUUCGUGUCCUGGUGUCGAUGACAACUUACAAGACCGGACACAAUGGCUAUGAUGAUGCUAACCUGGCAGAAGUGAAGGAAAAUUCAGAGGGCAGAAUGCACUCAGCUCACUGGAGCAACCUCCUGCAUGAGCACCUCUUGGUAAGAAAGCGAAAAAUGGACUGUGGGACCCCCUCACCCCCAGAACUCUGCAGCUCUCUCCACCUGACCAUAUCUCUCCAGACCUUUUUCUUAAGUAACUUUGUGUAUUUCUUUGGAUUAUUUAUGUAAACGAAUCACUUAUGCUGAGACAAUUUUGAUGUCAGUUUUUAGAAUGCAGUAUGUGAAUGAAGGUGCAAAAUUGAGGGGCUGCCUGGGAACUGAACCAAAUGCAAUCAGAAAGUUUGUUGGUCCUCUAUUCUUCUCCCGAUUGGAAAGGCUCGAGGUUUAUGAGUGUAAGUCUUCUCUCCCUGAAACCUGGCACCGUUCACGUUUUUCAUGGUGCCUCAGCCAAAAACAGUAGAAGCACCGCCUGCUGUCAUUAAAUCACCACUCUAGACCCAGAGCAAGACAGCAUGUAAAAGUCAGGCCCAGCUGCCGGUGGAAACCAGUUCCAGGAAGGGUCUAUCGGCAGGAGGCAGCUCAUGGGAACCGGGGUGGCCGUGCAGGGAGCCUGUCCGUGUGCACGUCAGGGGAGGAGUUAAGCUAUCACUUGGGGGGCCAGCACUGUGGUGUAGCGGGUAAAGCCGCCGCCAGAAGUGCUGGCAUCCCAUAUGGGCGCUGGUUCGAGUCCCGGCUGCUCUACUUCCUAUCCAGCUCUCUGUAUGGCCUGGGAAAGCAGUAGAAGAUAGCCCAAGCCCUUGGGCCGUUGCACCCACGUGGGAGACCCAGAAGAAGCUCCUGGCUCCUGGCUUUGGAUCAGUGCAGCUCCAGCGGUUGUGGCCAACUGGGGAGUGAACUUGUGCAUGGAAGACGUCUCUGUCUCUGUCUCUUCUGUCUGCCUCUCCGUUCUCUCUUUCUCUGUGUAACUCUUUCAAAAAAUAAAUCUUUUUUUUUUUUAAAGCUAUUGCUUGGG